UAACACGUGGAUAACCUACCUAUAGUCUGGGAUACCACUUGGAAACAGGUGCUAAUACCGGAUAAGAAAGCGGAUCGCAUGAUCAGCUUUUAAAAGGCGGCGUAAGCUGUCGCUAUGGGAUGGCCCCGCGGUGCAUUAGCUAGUUGGUAAGGUAAAGGCUUACCAAGGCGAUGAUGCAUAGCCGAGUUGAGAGACUGAUCGGCCACAUUGGGACUGAGACACGGCCCAAACUCCUACGGGAGGCAGCAGCU
rnacentral:rRNA from 1 species